UCAAAAUAUGGACAAUUUUAUCUUUAGGGCGUCUUGAAAUCUUUUGACAGCUUCCGAAGUGCUAUUUUUCAACCUUUUUCACCUGGACCAAAUCACUACUUUCCUUUAAAAUUCUGGACCCAUUUUUUUACAGUGUAAUUUCACCCCCCUACUUGCAAUUUGAGGCAUUAAACAUGGAGAAAUAAAUUUGGAAGGGGUAUAAAAAUUAAUGGCAAGUAACCCACUGUCAACACUAGGGAC
rnacentral:lncRNA from 1 species